AGCAGCAAUGCUUAGUGGCGGAAGGGUGAGGAACACGUGAGUGAUCUGCCCCCAAGUUUGGAAUAACAGUCGGAAACGACUGCUAAUACCGAAUGUGGCUGGGGAUCCGCAUGGGACCCCGGCUAAAGAUUUAUCGCUUGGGGAUGAGCUCGCGUCCCAUUAGUUAGUUGGUGAGGUAACGGCCCACCAAGACAAUGAUGGGUAGCUGGUCUGAGAGGAUGGUCAGCCACACUGGGACUGAGACACUGCCCAGACUCCUACGGGAGGCUGCAGUCGAGAAUCUUGGGCAAUGCGCGAAAGCGUGACCCAGCAAUGCCGCGUGUGUGAUGAAGGUCUUCGGAUUGUAAAACACUGUCUCCCGGGACGAAAAUUGACGGUACCGGGGAAGGAAGCCACGGCUAACUACGUGCCAGCAGCCGCGGUAAUACGUAGGUGGCGAGCGUUGUUCGGAUUUAUUGGGCGUAAAGGGUCUGUAGGAGGUUUACUAAAAAUGGGGUGAAAUCCGGAAGCUCAACUGCCGAAAUUGCCUUGUUGACUGGUAAACUAGAGUUCUGGAGAGGUAAGCGGAAUACCAAGUGUAGCGGUGGAAUGCGUAGAUAUUUGGUAGAACACCAAGAGCGAAGGCAGCUUACUGGACAGAUACUGACUCUGAGAGACGAAAGCGUGGGGGAGCAAACAGGAUUAGAUACCCUGGUAGUCCACGCCGUAAACGUUGUCAACUUGAUGUGGGCGGAUUUAGUCCUGCCUGUAUCGAAGCGAACGCGCUAAGUUGACCGCCUGGGGACUACGGCCGCAAGGCUAAAACUCAAAGGAAUUGACGGGGGCCCGCACAAGCGGUGGAGCAUGUGGCUUAAUUCGAGGCAACGCGAAGAACCUUACCUGGGCUUGAAAUAUAAUGGACAGUCUGUGAAAGCAGAUCUCUCUUCGGAGCCGUUAUACAGGUGCUGCAUGGCUGUCGUCAGCUCGUGCCGUGAGGUGUUCGGUUAAGUCCGGCAACGAGCGCAACCCGUGUCAUUAGUUACCAUCAGGUAAAGCUGGGGACUCUAAUGAGACUGCCCGUGUUAAGCGGGAGGAAGGCGCGGAUGACGUCAAGUCAGUAUGGCCCUUACGUCCAGGGCUGCACACGUGCUACAAUGGGGGGUACAAUGGGAUGCGAAAUCGCGAGGUGGAGCAAAUCCACAAAACCUCUCUUAGUUCGGAUUGUAGUCUGCAACUCGACUACAUGAAGCUGGAAUCGCUAGUAAAUGCGUAUCAGCUACGACGCAUUGAAUACGUUCCCGGGCC
rnacentral:rRNA from 1 species